rnacentral:misc_RNA from 1 species
GAUGAAUAACGUAGCGAAAUGCGAUAAGUAAUGUGAAUUGCAGAAUUCAGUGAAUCAUCGAAUCUUUGAACGCACAUUGCGCCCGGUAGUAUUCUGCCGGGCAUGUCUGUUCGAGCGUCAUUUCAACCAUCAAGCCCCAGCGCUUGUGUUGGGGGCCUGCGGCUGCCGCAGCCCCCUAAAAGCAGUGGCGGGCUCGCUAUCACACCGAGUGCAGUAGUUCAUCUUCUCUCCGGUCUUGUGAGGCGGGUUCCGGCCGUGAAACACCCCACUACAUUCAAGGUUGACCUCGGAUCAGGUAGGAAUACCCGCUGAACUUAAGCAUAUCAAUAAGCGGAGGA